rnacentral:rRNA from 1 species
GGAUUAGAUACCCUGGUAGUCCACGCCGUAAACGAUGAACACUUGGUGUUGGAGGUAUUGACCCCUUCAGUGCCGGAGCUAACGCGUUAAGUGUUCCGCCUGGGGAGUACGGUCGCAAGAUUAAAACUCAAAGAAAUUGACGGGGGCCCGCACAAGCGGUGGAGCAUGUGGUUUAAUUCGAUCAACGCGAAGAACCUUACCUGGUCUUGACAUCCUGUUGACCGUUUCCAGAGAUGGAUUCUUCCCUUCGGGGCAACAGUGACAGGUGCUGCAUGGCUGUCGUCAGCUCGUGCCG